UCCAGUAGCACCUUAGAGACCAACUAAGUCUGUUAUUGGUAUGAGCUUUUGUGUGCAUUUUGAGUAUCUGAAGAAGUGUGCAUGCACACGAAAACUCAUACCAGUAACAAACUUAGUUGGUCUCUAAGGUGCUACUGGA